rnacentral:tRNA from 1 species
UCCUGGUGGCUUAGAUGUAAAGAUUCUGCCUGGAAUGCAGGAGACCUGGGUUCAACCCCUGGGCCGGGAA